rnacentral:rRNA from 1 species
GACGAACGCUGGCGGCGUGCCUAAUACAUGCAAGUCGAACGCAUUUUCUUUCACCGUAGCUUGCUACACCGAAAGAAAAUGAGUGGCGAACGGGUGAGUAACACGUGGGUAACCUGCCCAUCAGCGGGGGAUAACACUUGGAAACAGGUGCUAAUACCGCAUAAUUCCAUUUACCGCAUGGUAGAUGGAUGAAAGGCGCUUUUGCGUCACUGAUGGAUGGACCCGCGGUGCAUUAGCUAGUUGGUGGGGUAACGGCCUACCAAGGCUGCGAUGCAUAGCCGACCUGAGAGGGUGAUCGGCCACACUGGGACUGAGACACGGCCCAGACUCCUACGGGAGGCAGCAGUAGGGAAUCUUCGGCAAUGGACACAAGUCUGACCGAGCAACGCCGCGUGAGUGAAGAAGGUUUUCGGAUCGUAAAACUCUGUUGUUAGAGAAGAACAAGGGUGAGAGUGGAAAGUUCAUCCCUUGACGGUAUCUAACCAGAAAGCCACGGCUAACUACGUG